rnacentral:rRNA from 1 species
AUUGAACGCUGGCGGCAUGCCCUACACAUGCAAGUCGACCGUAACGGGCCUUUGGGUUCCGACGGGUUGGGAACGGGUGGGUAAUUCAUCCGGACCUGGCCGGACGGGGGGGGUAACGGAGGGGAAGCCUUGGUUAUUCCGCCUUCGGACUACGGGUUAAAGGAGGGGAACGGCAAGGCCUGGGGCGGACGGGGCGGCGAUGGCAGAUUAGGUAGUUGGUGGGAUAAAAGCUUACCAAGCCGACGAUCUGUAGCUGGUCUGAGAGGAUGAUCAGCCACACUGGGACUGAGACACGGCCCAGACUCCUACGGGAGGCAGCAGUGGGGAAUUUUGGACAAUGGGCGCAAGCCUGAUCCAGCCAUGCCGCGUGCAGGAUGAAGGCCUUCGGGUUGUAAACUGCUUUUGUACGGAACGAAAAGCCUUCUUUUAAUACAGGAGGGUCAUGACGGUACCGUAAGAAUAAGCACCGGCUAACUACGUG